CUCAGUAACGGCGAGUGAAGCGGCAACAGCUCAAAUUUGAAAUCUGGCUCUCGGGUCCGAAUUGUAAUUUGUAGAAGAUGCUUCGAGUGUUAGCCUGGUCUAAGUUCCUUGGAACAGGACGUCAUAGAGGGUGAGAAUCCCGUAUGUGACUAGUGCUCUCGCUCAUGUGAAGCUCUUUCGACGAGUCGAGUUGUUUGGGAAUGCAGCUCAAAAUGGGUGGUAAAUUUCAUCUAAAGCUAAAUAUUGGCCAGAGACCGAUAGCGCACAAGUAGAGUGAUCGAAAGAUGAAAAGCACUUUGGAAAGAGAGUUAAACAGUACGUGAAAUUGUUGAAAGGGAAGCGCUUGCAACUAGACUUGCAUGCCGUCGAUCAUCCGAGGUUUUCCCCGGUGCACUCGGCGGUGUUCAGGCCAGCAUCGGUUUGGGUGGUUGGAUAAAGGCCUUGGGAAUGUAGCUUCUUUCGGGGAGUGUUAUAGCCCUCGGUGCAAUGCAGCCUACCCGGACCGAGGACCGCGCUUCGGCUAGGAUGCUGGCGUAAUGGUUGUAAGCGACCCGUCUUG
rnacentral:rRNA from 1 species